CAACCUCCCUCCUGACAUCUAGUGGCCACUACUCACAUAAUUAAAUGGGAAUUUCACAAGGUUCUUUUGAGAAAACCAACAGUUGUCAGCAUUUAUCAGAACAAUGAAUGCCUUUUUUCUUGGUAAGGCAAUCAUAAAGAAAAACACGGUCAACGAACUCCCCAAGCUUCCACACGUUAAUUAAUAUUUUAAUUUAAAACAAGGUUAAUCUGAGUAACAAUAAAUCCAUAAAAGAAAAACAAUCAGCAGAGAAGCACGAACGAACUCCCUCUUGUCUCCUCUAAUUAAAAUACUCUUUUCACACUCUCUCCCUGCUUUUCAUUUUCUCCACCUCUGUUCUAACACCACCAUCCCUAUUGGAUUAACCACGACGGUGGUAACAGGAAUCUCCGACGACACUUCUGUGUAGCCGUGGUGGCAAGUCGUGAGCGCUCAUAACUCAGAGGAAAAUCCUACCCUUAUCCAAGCAAAUACUUAAAAACCCAAAUCUAGCCAUGUAGUUUCCAAAUCAAAACAAAGAUCCAAAGAACCGAAGCCAGAAAACAACGAAAACAAAGGAUCCAGAUCAAAGCAUAAACAAGCAAGAGACCUAAAUUUUCAACUCCAAAUUAAACUUAAUACAACAGAAAUCUCAUGUGAUAAUCAUGGGGGUUAUGGUAUAUGAGGCGAUGUGAACAAGGUGGUAACCUCAAAUCAUUCAAAGGAGAAGUUUAAAUACCAAAUUGGAGCUAGUCCGACGUUCGACUCCGGUAAAGGCGAGAGUAACGGCGCUGGAAAAGGUCCCUUUAUCCCAGUGAUGGAUGCUCUUUAUAUAGAGCUUUGGAGGUACGAGGUUUCUCACUCCUGAGCUGGCAAAGAUUCCAAAAAUCCGUUAGGAUCAAAUCCUUUCUAGAUUUUGGUGUGGUUCCAGGAAUGAAGGUGGUGAAAUCUGUUUCUAUUUUGUCCGUAGUGAGUGAGAACUUAUCUUCUGCGAUUACGUGGCGCUUGCAAGAAUUUCUUGAUGAUGCUCUGCGAUCUGGAACACCUUGGUACAUCCUGAGAAAUGGCCACAGACGCCAUUCAAAUGAAGCAUCACUUUAUUCCUUCUUACUUAUAUUGCGCCAUAGCUUUGGGUUUUCCCUUGACACAACAUUGCACUGUUGUUGCUGAUUGCAGGAUCAUGUUGGUUUUGUUCAUGAUAUGUAUUACUAGUCCGCUUAAUUAAUCCAUGAAGUGGAUGUGAAUGCCCCCAUGACAAGGAUACUGCCAUGCUAUUUUUUGUACCAUUUGUCUGCAUUAUUUGGCUUGAUGUAGGCUAGGAUUGGUUUCUGCAGGUCUUUGUUACAAUAUUCAUGUAUCGAUGCGGUUUGGCCAAUGGUUGCAGGCUUGUGCUCCGAUUUUGCAAUAGGUUUAUGUUGUGACAUGUGCAUGCCUGCAAUGUUUGGAAGGUUGUGUAAUUUAAACCAUAAUUGUGUUUGUAUUAAGCAUGUUCAUGUCUUCAUUUCGUGACUUUGGGGCAAACUUUUAUGCAGCAGCCUUCUCACUUGGUUUGCCUGAUAAUGCAGGACAUUGGUCACAAGGUCUUAUAAUUCCCAGUCGGUAUACCACAGUCACCUCUUGUUCAUAGCCUUCGCUUGCAGCAUUAGCUACCACCGCUCGCGAAGUGCUAAGCCAUGAUUUCAUUAUGCCGUUGAUACUCAGUCUGGUGCGGUUUCUCGAAGGAACGUUGACACUGCAGGGGUGAUGCACACUUUAUCAUGUUGGUUCACAAGAUAAGUGUAGCAAUUCAUAUUUUGUAAUGACCUUGGACUUUAGCUUGUCUUGUAUGUAGAAUCUAAGACUUCAUAUCACGGUUGCAACCGGGUAUGCUUUCUAUAGUAGCUAACCUCUAGGCCAUUUGCAUCUUUGUUUCGUUUUUAUGUGUUGCCUUUCAAUUUCAUGACAGUGAGUAUCUUGCAACAGGUAUUGUUGAUUUUACCGAUGUAGCCUAUGUCAUGACAAUUUUGGUACAGAUGUGACAUUCGGCUGGUGAAUGUAUCUUGGUUGACGCAUACAGCAUGAGAGAAUUCCCAGGGUGGUUUCAUCUAUUAUGGACCUAUGCAUUGUAACUUUUUCUUCAACUUGUUAUUUCUGGCGUUGUUAGUAUUGUAGGUUCAUGGUUAUCGAGACAGACUAACUUAUGGCGGCAUGAAUAGUUGUGGACCAAGGUCUCUUCUUCACGCAUCAUGAUGUUGUAACAUGUCUGUACCUGUUUUAAGUCUAAAAUCUUUUAUCUGCGGAUCCAAACCUUGCGUAUUUAGUAUUUCUGCAAUCUUAUUCCAAUUUUUCUUUAUAAAGUUCCUAAUGUCUCAGGGAGCAGAAGUGUUGCCUGAUCAGUCCACUUCAUUGUUAUCAAUUUGUUUUUGUUUUUGAAAUACAUCAACACAGCCGGGACAUUAACACAGCCGGAACAUUAACACAACCUUCAUUAUCUUCCUGUGUAGGCGCUUCAUUAUCUUCCAACUGCUACUUUAAUAAUGCAUUGAGUUAUCAUCAACGUCGUCAUUGCAUAUGUCUUCAUGGCUUAUGGCUUCGUCUUCAGAAAAUGCCUCUGUCACUUUACACGACUUCCAUAAGAUGCCAAAUGUUUGUAUUGAUCUUCCACUGUUGCUCACAUGUUAUUCAUAUUGUUGCUCACAUGUUUUUCAUAUUGUUGCUCAAAUGUUGUUUACGUUCGCUAUGAGUGUAGGCAAACUGUUAUUGUGAAUUUUUGACAGGUUUUGAUCUGGUUUUAGACAGGUUAAGACAUCUUAUAUAGGUGGAUGCAAAACUUAACGGGAAUGGACCAGACAUUGAAGAUCAACAAUUAGACGCCCUUUAUUCAGAACUUAAUCUUUCUUGACUCAAGUAAAGUAACACGGUGUUAACAUUGUGUAGCACACUUAGAACAUGGGUUAACUUUUGAACAAUUAUUACAUGCUUGUAAUUUUAAUUGCUAUCCCGUGAUUUUGAUGCCUACAGGUGUCCCCUUGGGCACUUUUACUUUGCCAUUUGUGAGUAGUGAUUUGGAAUUUGUAAUGUAAACCUGGGCUUGAAGCAAUUCUCAUACUUAUUUAGAA